AUUGAACGCUGGCGGCAUGCCUUACACAUGCAAGUCGAACGGCAGCACGGACUUCGGUCUGGUGGCGAGUGGCGAACGGGUGAGUAAAGUAUCGGAACGUACCUUUCAGUGGGGGAUAACGUAGCGAAAGUUACUCUAAUACCGCAUAUUCUGUGAGCAGGAAAGCAGGGGAUCGCAACACCUUGCGCUGAUUGAGCGGCCGAUAUCAGAUUAGCUAGUUGGUGGGAUAAAGGCCUACCAAGGCGACGAGCUGUAGCUGGUCUGAGAGGAUGAUCCGCCACACUGGAACUGAGACACGGUCCAGACUCCUACGGGAGGCAGCAGUGGGGAAUUUUGGACAAUGGGGGCAACCCUGAUCCAGCCAUGCCGCGUGAGUGAAGAAGGCCUUCGGGUUGUAAAGCUCUUUCGGCCGGGAAGAAAUCGCAUGGGCUAAUACCCUGUGUGGAUGACGGUACCGGAAUAAGAAGCACCGGCUAACUACGUGCCAGCAGCCGCCGUAAUAC
rnacentral:rRNA from 1 species